rnacentral:rRNA from 1 species
UACAGAGGUCCCAAGCGUUGUCCGGAAUUAUUGGGCGUAAAGAGCUCGUAGGCGGUCUGUCGCGUCGGUCGUGAAAACUUGGGGCUUAACCCUGAGCUUGCGGUCGAUACGGGCAUGACUGGAGUUCGGCAGGGGAGACUGGAAUUCCUGGUGUAGCGGUGAAAUGCGCAGAUAUCAGGAGGAACACCGGUGGCGAAGGCGGGUCUCUGGGCCGAUACUGACGCUGAGGAGCGAAAGCGUGGGGAGCGAACAGG